rnacentral:rRNA from 1 species
UCCGUAGGUGGAUAAUUAAGUCAGAGGUGAAAUCCUGCAGCUCAACUGUAGAAUUGCCUUUGAUACUGGUUAUCUUGAGUCAUUAUGAAGUGGUUAGAAUGUGUAGUGUAGCGGUGAAAUGCAUAGAUAUUACACAGAAUACCGAUUGCGAAGGCAGAUCACUAAUAAUGUACUGACACUGAGGAACGAAAGCGUGGGGAGCGAACAGGAUUAGAUACCCUGGUAGUCC